GCAUACCCAACAAACACACAACGUUGCCUCAACGUAGCGACCUUCCUACAACGUUGUAUCAACAUUGCAAAAAGGCUGAGGAUUCUACGUUGUUGCUAAAGGUUGUCACAACGAUGUCAUAAGGUUGCCAUUUAAACAUCAUGAGGGUCGCAUGCUUUAGGUUGUGCUUAGGUGGCGUGGACGACCACUGUACAACAUUUACUGGUCACAGCUGAAUCAGUUUAAAUUUCAACAAGCCGUCGUCUCAUUCAUCAACGACCGAGGAGACGCUAUUUUUACAUGGAGAAUGUUUUCAGCUGUUGAAUUCACCUCAGAUCAGUGUUGCUGUAAUUCCUGAUCUAUGGAAAGAAGAAUUGGAUGAGCGAGCAACGCCACAACUACAGGGCCUCUUCUUUCUC